rnacentral:misc_RNA from 1 species
UUCAAUAUGGUAAUGAAUGAUUUGGUUGAUGAAAGUUUCCGACUGUAUAAAUUUAUUACACAAGGUUUCAUCAAUCAGAACAAAUAAAUGGAGGAAACGUAAAUUUAAUGUAGGGUUAUACAUCAGCCAGAUCUUACGAAAGGGAAUGUUGAUAGUCUAAUCUUACAUUAAUAUAAUGGGAAGGAAUGCAAACUACACCAUGGGGGAGAAGAACUAAGAGAAUGGGAGAAUUAGAUUGUUCUUGCAACAGACACUUGUAACGUAAAUUUUUACAUUAAUAAAGAUCCGGUAAUUAAGAAUUGAUUUCCAAGUUUCCAUCAUGCCUAAAACUUAUUCAACAUCUUUAUGACAUAAGAAGCGUGAGCCAUACCUCACACAAAUCAAAGUUGCAUUAAAUUCAGAAUAGACAACCAAUUGAAUUAGAAAGCAUUCAUUAAAUUAAUGAGG